GAUAAAAUGGCUGAAUUUAGGCGAUAAAUUGUAAAUUUAUUUAUGAAAAGUAAUUUUUUCUUUUAUCA
rnacentral:tRNA from 1 species